GUGGUUAAGGAACUCGGCAAAUUGCCCCCGUAACUUCGGGAGAAGGGGGACCUCUGCUGGUGAUGGGCUUUACGUUCUGAGCUGGUGGGGGUCGCAGUGGCCAGGGGGAAGCGACUGUUUACUAAAAACACAGGUCCGUGCGAAGUCGUAAGACGAUGUAUACGGACUGGCGCCUGCCCGGUGCCGGAACGUUAAGGGGACCGCUUAGCCAGCUUCGGUUGGCGAAGGUGAGAACUUAAGCGCCGGUAAACGGCGGUGGUAACUAUAACCACCCUAAGGUAGCGAAAUUCCUUGUCGGGUAAGUUCCGACCUGCACGAAUGGCGUAACGACUUCCCCGCUGUCUCAACCACAGACCCGGCGAAAUUGCACUACGAGUAAAGAUACCCGUUUCGCGCAGCAGGACGGAAAGACCCCGGGACCUUCACUACAGCUUGACAUUGGCGUUUGGAACGUCUUGUGUAGGAUAGGUGGGAGACUAGGAAGCUGUCACGCUAGUGAUGGUGGAGUCAUUGGUGAAAUACCACUCUGGUCGUUUUGAACGUCUACUCUGGUCCGUGAUCCGGAUCGGGGACAGUGUCUGGUGGGUAGUUUAACUGGGGCGGUUGCCUCCUAAAGAGUAACGGAGGCGCCCAAAGGUUCCCUCAGCCUGGUUGGCAAUCAGGUGUUGAGUGUAAGUGCACAAGGGAGCUUGACUGUGAGACUGACAGGUCGAGCAGGAGCGAAAGCUGGGACUAGUGAUCCGGCAUCGGCGUGUGGAAGCGGUGUCGCUCAACGGCUAAAAGGUACCCCGGGGAUAACAGGCUGAUCUUCCCCAAGAGUCCAUAUCGACGGGAUGGUUUGGCACCUCGAUGUCGGCUCGUCGCAUCCUGGGGCUGGAGUAGGUCCCAAGGGUUGGGCUGUUCGCCCAUUAAAGCGGUACGCGAGCUGGGUUUAGAACGUCGCGAGACAGUUCGGUCCCUAUCCGCUGCGCGCGCAGGAGACUUGAAGGGGGCUGUCCCUAGUACGAGAGGACCGGGACGGACGAACCUCUGGUGUGCCAGUUGUACCGCCAGGUGCACGGCUGGUUGGCUACGUUCGGAAGGGAUAACCGCUGAAAGCAUCUAAGCGGGAAGCUCGCCUUGAGAUGAGGUCUCCCACCCCGUGAGGGGGUAAGGCUCCCGGUAGAUCACCGGGUUGAUAGGCCGGAGGUGGAAGCACGGUAACGUGUGGAGCUGACCGGUACUAAUAGGCCGAGGACUUGAUC
rnacentral:rRNA from 1 species